rnacentral:ncRNA from 1 species
UAUCUGGUUGAUCCUGCCAGUAGUCAUAUGCUUGUCUCAAAGAUUAAGCCAUGCAUGUCUAAGUAUAAGCACUUGUACUGUGAAACUGCGAAUGGCUCAUUAAAUCAGUUAUCGUUUAUUUGAUUGUACCUUUACUACUUGGAUAACCGUGGUAAUUCUAGAGCUAAUACAUGCGAAAAGUCCCGACUUCUGGAAGGGAUGUAUUUAUUAGAUUCAAAACCAAUGCGGGUUCUGCCCGGUCAUUUGGUGAUUCAUAGUAACUGUUCGAAUCGCAGGGCCUCGCGCCGGCGAUGUUUCAUUCAAAUUUCUGCCCUAUCAACUGUCGAUGGUAAGGUGUUGGCUUACCAUGGUUACAACGGGUGACGG